rnacentral:rRNA from 1 species
GACGAACGCUGGCGGCGUGCUUAACACAUGCAAGUCGAACGGAAAGGCCCUGCUUUUGUGGGGUGCUCGAGUGGCGAACGGGUGAGUAACACGUGAGUAACCUGCCCUUGACUUUGGGAUAACUUCAGGAAACUGGGGCUAAUACCGGAUAGGAGCUCCUGCUGCAUGGGGGGGGUUGGAAAGUUUCGGCGGUUGGGGAUGGACUCGCGGCUUAUCAGCUGGUUGGUGGGGUAGUGGCUUACCAAGGCUUUGACGGGUAGCCGGCCUGAGAGGGUGACCGGCCACAUUGGUACUGAGAUACGGCCCAGACUCCUACGUGAGGCAGCAGUGGGGAAUAUUGCACAAUGGGCGGACGCCUGAUGCAGCAACGCCGCGUGCGGGAUGACCGCCUUCUGGUUGUAAACCGCUUUCGCCUGUGACGAAGCGUGCGUGACGGUAAUGGGUAAAGAAGCACCGGCUAACUACGUG